UUAAAGUUCAGCCAUAAGUUUUCAUAUCCAAUUUUAAGCAUUCGUCUUAUUUAAAAAAAUUUUAUGAUAACUAUAUUUAUUGUUAUUAGAUGAUAAAAUAUAAAUAGUACUUUACACAUUCCUUAUGUUUUUUUAAUUGUUUUUCAAAAAAAAAAUAAAUGAGAAACAAUUAAAGUUAGAGACGCUUAAAAUGGGACUAAUU
rnacentral:pre_miRNA from 1 species